CCUACGGGCGGCAGCAGUGGGGGAUAUUGCACAAUGGGGGAAACCCUGAUGCAGCAACGCCGCGUGUGGGAUGACGGCUCUCGGAUUGUAAACCACCUUUUGUGGGGAAGUUAAUGACGGUAACCAAGGAGAAAGCUCCGUCUAACUACGUGCCAGCAGCCGCGGUAAUACGUAGGGAGCAAGCGUUAUCCGGAUUUACUGGGUGUAAGGGGUGCGUAGGCGGUUUUGCAAGUCAGACGUGAAAUCCAUAGGCUCAACCUGUGGACUGCGUUUGAAACUGUGGGACUAGAGAGAAGUAGAAGUAGGCGGAAUGCGCGGUGUAGCGGUGAAAUGCGUAGAGAU
rnacentral:rRNA from 1 species